rnacentral:misc_RNA from 1 species
AUGAUAAUGAAACUUGAGAGUUGGCUCCUUUACAAUAGGGCAAAUCUACUAUUGGAUGUCACUGGGUCUACACUGUGAAAGUGGGUCCUGAUGGCAAAAUUAAUCGAUUAAAAGCCCGUCUUGUUGUCAAAGGAUACAUUCAAAUUUAUGGGCUUGGCUAUAGUGAUACAUUCUCUUCAGUGGCUAAAUUGCCUCUUUUUGUCGACUUAAUUCUUUAGCAGCAAUGCAUCACUAAACUCUAAAUCAACUGGAUAUUAU